rnacentral:rRNA from 1 species
AGUGAACGCUGGCGGUAGGCCUAACACAUGCAAGUCGAACGGCAGCACAGUAAGAGCUUGCUCUUACGGGUGGCGAGUGGCGGACGGGUGAGGAAUACAUCGGAAUCUACUUUUUCGUGGGGGAUAACGUAGGGAAACUUACUCUAAUACCGCAUACGACCUACGGGUGAAAGCAGGGGAUCUUCGGACCUUGCGCGAUUGAAUGAGCCGAUGUCGGAUUAGCUAGUUGGCGGGGUAAAGGCCCACCAAGGCGACGAUCCGUAGCUGGUCUGAGAGGAUGAUCAGCCACACUGGAACUGAGACACGGUCCAGACUCCUACGGGAGGCAGCAGUGGGGAAUAUUAGACAAUGGGCGCAAGCCUGAUCCAGCCAUACCGAGUGGGUGAAGAAGGCCUUCGGGUUGUAAAGCCCUUUUGUUGGGAAAGAAAAGCAGCAGGUUAAUACCCCGCUGUUCUGACGGUACCCAAAGAAUAAGCACCGGCUAACUUCGUG